GCGUUUCCGUUUUGAACAUCAAUCAAGAACCUAGACUCUAUAUGGCACACGUACGAUCAAUCAUCAACUCUUUUCCAUAACUUGCGGGUCAUGCGAAGACUAUAUAAAAACCGAAUCCUUCAUCUCAUAACUCACACCUUUCACCACUCUCGAAACACACGGCUGAAGGAACAAGUGGUUUUACCGGAGAUCGACGGAAGCUGUAUAGAAGCACGACGACAGACAAACGAAGAACACGCUGUCGCCGGAGAAGUUGAGAACGUCGGAAAACCUCCACUCCAUUCUUUAUUUCGCUUCGCCGGAGAACCUUUGGAACUCGCCGGAACCAAGCAAACCUUUCGGAAGUUCACGACGGGAAUCCUCCGUUUCGUUACGUUUCGGAUAAUCGCUCUCGCGUUCGUCCUCUUGGAAUUCUCCAUCUUUACUCGUGCUUUAUUUCGAGGAAUUCUCCAAACGCAACCAAUAUGACGAAAAACGCCCAAGAAUAAGGGCAUUAUUCAUCCUUAUCAUUACGCAUGGUCUUAGUUAUUAUCUUAUAUUCAGAUACGAAGAAAGACACCGUGUCAUCGUCAAUAAGGUCAUGAUGAGAUUGGGCAAAACAAUGUUACUCUUGUUAUACGCGAUAAAACAAGAGUGAAGAUGAUGGAAGUGAGUAGGAAAUCUGGGCAUGCUACACAAGCAAAUGGUGAAGGAUCGUUAGUGUUCACUCACGUAGUUUAGUGGAAUAUUGUAUUUCUGUUAGUGUUUUUUUUUUUUUGAAAUAUUACAUGAGAUAUUGGUUUGUUAGUAUCAACAUUUAUGAAAUCUAUUGUUAAUUUU